GGAAGUAAUAGUCGUAACAAGGUUUCCGUAGGUGAACCUGCGGAAGGAUCAUUAUCGUACAAAAUGUGAGGGGCAUGCGAGGGCUGUCGCGGACCCAAAAGUCGUGCACGCCCGAGUGUGUCCUCUUGCAUAAUAAUCCAUCUCACCCUUUGUGCAUCACCGCGUGGGCACCCUUCGGGAUCAUCUCGGAGGGGGGCUCGCGUUUUCACACAAACCCCCCUUUUAAAAGUGUAGAAUGACCACAUUUAUGCAAUCAAUACAACUUUCAACAACGGAUCUCUUGGCUCUC
rnacentral:misc_RNA from 1 species